GCUGCUUUUUUUCCUGGCGUCCGAGCAGGAUGAGCUGUAAAAGUAACGUGGAAACACUCUUAACUUCCGAGACUGACGGCGAGUCGUCUUGUGGUGGAUGUCGGUGAAUUCUGGAAGCUGCCAGAGGACCGGACAUUUGCCGUAAGAGGGAGAGAGUGAGGACCGGUAGAGCCCUGGACUGUAGCUGUUGUACUUGAGCGUGGUUCAUCGCACGUGUUCCUGCACGCGCCACUCCCUUGCUGCUGACACUCCAUCUUGCCAUUUGCCCCUUUCCCCCCAUCGUCAUCUCUGACUGUGAAGAUUCGGGGAAUGAGUCGUCAGUGGCUGAGGUCGACAGGGAGCCAAGUGCCUGAACACGGGCCUGUGCCGCUUUGAUGGAUGUAGGGAAGAAUACAGCGAAGUGAUGGCAGAGAGAAUCCCCCCCCCACCAUGCCACGACACCUCCAGCUUCCCCAUAAUGGAGAGCGCUUUCAAAGACAGUGGAGCCACAACAUGAUGUCAGAAUCGAGUCUCUGGGAGAAGAAAAAUCAGGAGACAGAAGAACAAAAAAAAAAAAAAGAAGAAAGAAAAAGGGAAAGAGCAAAAGAAGGAAGUGGGAUGAGCUGCCAGUGAAGUGGGUUGGUCAUGUGUCAACCCAGAGCCCCAGAUGCAACACGGGGGGAAGCGGAAUGAGGUGGAGGGAUUGUGGAGGAGGGAGGGAAAAAAGGGAAGGGGGAAAAAAAAAAAGAAGGGAGGGAGAGAAAUCAAUAUUUCCACAACGUGGCCACUCCAGCCACUGCCAAUGACAGCAAACAUCAUGAAAAGAUAUGGGAGCAGGGAAGGGGGAAGAAAUGAAAGAGAUAAGAAGAGAACAGUAAAGUAAAUGACAUCUGAAGCUAUUUCCUCCAGGGCCCUGCCUGGUGUCGAGCCUCGAGGACUCGGCGGAGUUAUGGGCAGAGUUAAAUUUCUAUUAGCUCUGAGAGGAAAUUUAAGUUCUUUGUCUCUGGAGGGAGACUCGAGUGGAGACGCAAAGUACCCCCAUUGUCAUGUGACAGAUGACAACAGCAAGACCUUAAAACGAGUCACAAGGCUCGCCGCUAAAUAGUUACUGUCAGCGAAAAGGGUUUGAAGUAGGAGGGAGACAUUUAAGAUCAUGAUGUGUUCAUUUAAGGCGAUGAGCUUCCAGAGCUUUAAAGCAACAAUUUACGCUCGUAGGUUGUUAAUGGAAUAUUUUAUUCCACGGAGCAACUGACACCUGACAGCGUCACAUGUCAGUGAUGGUUCUAAUAAUGAGUGUAAUUACUAUGUUGCUUCGCAGCUCAAAGCUUAACCGCUCACAAUUAGACGCGUUCUUCUGGUCUUUUCUGAGGACAUCCUGCAGCUGUUAAUGUUAUGAACCUUUCCAAAACGCCCUAAUAUAAAGAGACACACCAAUGAACCACAGGUCGAAAUGAUUUCACACCCUUUCUCAGGAGGCUCGAUCAAAGGAAGCGUUACGUGGGCUGAGUUCUGCUUAGUUUCAACCUGUCGGAUGGGCUGAAUUAAGAUACAGCGCAUUUCGGAGGGCAGGUAGCAAGGAGCAGCAUCCCCUACGAGAAUAUUUUAAUGGUUGAAAAUCACAUCACACCAAGGCUGAGGAAAACAGAUUUUGGAGGCUGACUUCGUUGUAGUCGAUGGCGUGAACUGCGUGCGUCUCCUUACCUCCCUGAUGUGCAGCCCAAAGGCAUCCCAGAAAAAGAUACAACAUUUUUGACAAAAAACAGAGAAAAGAAGCGCACACAUGACCAAGGAUGUUGUUUAAAGCUUGAUAAUAACCAUGUUUAUCUGGGUUUGUUAAAAGAUAACUACAGUGUGGACCUCUGUGCUGUUUAUGUGCUUGGGACCUCACACUGGAAAUAAGUUCAUCUUCAUGUGUAUGCACCAUAAAUAUUGUAAAUGGAAAUGUUUGUGUG